GAAGGCCGCCGGGCAGUCGCGCGCCGUCGGCGUGAGGAAAGUCCGGGCUUCACAGGGCAGCGUGCAGGAUAACGUCCUGUCGGGGCAACUCGAAGGAAAGUGCCACAGAAACAAACCGCGAUGCGGACGGCGCGAGCCGGACGUAGCGCAAGGGUGAAAUCGUGAGGUAAGAGCUCACGGAGUUCCGCGGCGACGCGGGCUCGGGUAAACCCCACGCGAAGCAAGAUCGCUCGAUACGUCCUCCGGGACCGGACGGCCCGUCCGAACGAGUCACAUCGCAACGAGCCGCACCGAGAGGUGCGGCCCAGAUAGAUGGCUGCCGCCGCGAAAGCGGUACAGAAUCCGGCUUACAGGCGACCUUCGCUC
rnacentral:RNase_P_RNA from 1 species